AUGGCAUCUGAGAGGCUGAGGAAAAACAGCAUUGCUAGUCUGCUGUCUGAUGAUGGUGUUACUGUUCAUGAUCAUGACCAAAUGGCGGGAGUUCUUUGGCACUCUUUCAAAUCAAGGAUGGGCCAGUCCAGGGGGAUCCGGAUGGGCUUUUGCUUGGCUGAUCUUAUUCAGCCCAUAGAUGGCCUGCAUGAUCUGUCGAGGCCCUUUUCUCAAGCUGAAAUUGAUAAGGUCCUGAAGGAAAUGCCUACGGACAGGGCCCCUGGGCCUGAUGGGUUCAAUGGUUUUUUUGUUAAGAAAUGCUGGCCUGUUAUUCAGAAGGAUUUUUUGAAUCUGAUUGAGCAAUUUGCUGCUGGCUCGCUGAGCCUGGAAGGCAUUAAUGGCUCCUUGAUAACUCUUAUACCUAAAAUUAUUGCUCCUCAGGGUCCAGGGGAUUUCAGGCCUAUCUCCUUGACCAACACAUGUCUCAAGUUCUUAACUAAGUUGCUUGCUAAUAGGCCGCAGUUAGUGAUUCUUAAAUGUAUCCACAAAAACCAGUAUGGGUUUCUGAAAUCAAGGUCCAUUCAAGACUGUCUGGCAUGGGCCUUUGAGUACAUUCAUCAGUGCAAGCAAUCUCGGCGGCCUAUACUAAUUUUGACGCUGGAUUUUGCCAAGGCUUUUGACACGAUCGAGCAUGAAGCAAUAUUGUUAAUCCUGCAGCAGAAGGGCUUUGAUGUCAAAUGGCUAGCUUGGGUUAAGGAAAUCUUAUCUUCUGGUUCUUCUUCGGUUUUGUUAAAUGCUCUCAAGGAAAUGUUGGAUGUUUUCUAUGCCUCAACUGGCCUCAAAGUGAAUUUCCAGAAAUCCACAAUGGUGCCCCUUAACAUUGACAAUGAGGAGGCCAUUAGGCUUGCGGCUGUGUUUGGAUGCUCUUUGGGGACGCUUCCUUUCACUUACCCAGGUCUCCCCAUGGGAACUUCUAAGCCAAGGAUUAUUGAUCUUUUGCCUUUGGUUGAUAGGAUGGAAAGAAGGCUUACUGCUAGCUCUGCCAUGCUGAAUCAAGGCUCCCGGCUUCAGUUGCUGACCUCUGUGUUGUCCUCUGUGCCCAUUUAUUUCCUUUGUUCAUUGGACAUUCCAAUUGGCAUUAUUAAGCAACUGGAACGAAUUCACCGACAAUGCCUCUGGCGUGGCAAUUCAGACACACCCAAACAGUCACUUGCAGCAUGGGAGUUGGUUUGCAGGCCCAAGGAUAAAGGUGGUCUUGGCAUAAUUAACUUGCACCUUCAGAACCAAGGCUUACUCAUUAAGCAUCUUCAUAAGUUUUUCAAUAAGGAUGACAUCCCUUGGGUCUCUCUUAUCUGGAACUCUUAUUAUGAUGGUGUUGUACCCCAGGCCACGGUGUUGUGUGGCUCUUUCUGGUGGAGGGACGUUUUCAAGCUGGCUGAUUCUUACAGAGCAAUCUCUACAGCCACUGUGAAUCAGGGAGAUUCUAUUUUGUUCUGGUCUGACAGUUGGAUACUACACAAUUCAAACAGACCACUUCGGGACCAGCUGCCUCACUUAUUCUCCUUUGUCAAGGAUGACAAGAUCUCUGCCAUGAAUUUCCUGGAUUCUGAGGAUGUGACAUCAAUGUUUCAUUUGCCAAUCUCGAGCGCAGCAGCUUCAGAACUUGAUCACCUCCUUCUUUGGGUCACUAUGUUGCAAAGAGAUGCUACUGCUCCUGAUGUGUGGUCUUGGCCUUCAAAGACUGGUUACUCUUCUAAGAGCUUUUACACCAUAAUGCACACACACCUUCCGACAAUUACGCCUUGUGUUUGGCUUUGGAGAAGUUCAUGCACGAUGAAAAUGAAGGUUUUUGGUUGGUUGCUCUUUUUUGAUCGCCUAAACACUCGAGACCUCCUUCUCAGGAGACAUUGGAGGACUGAUCAAGAGGAUAAUCUUUGUGUACUUUGUCAUGCCCGUAUGCAUGAGGAUAGGUUCCAUCUCUUCUUCAACUGCAAUUUCAGUCAACGGGUCUGGUCUUAUCUCCAGAUUGAUUGGUUGGGCAGACAGGAUGUGACCUCCUGCCUUUUGCACACCAAGAAGAAUUUUCAUCAACCAUUCUUCUUUGAGGUUAUGCUCACUGCGGCCUGGUGCAUUUGGACUACUAGGAAUGGGAAGAUCUUCAAAUCAGAGAGGGCCUCGUUUGGCAUGUGGAGGGGUAAAUUUGUUCAUGAUAUCAACUUGUUGUACCAUAGAGUGAGGGAGAGUGUUAAACCUGCUUUCUUAGCUUGGAUUAAUAAUCUUCCUUAG
rnacentral:rRNA from 1 species